AAAAAAAACAGGAACCUUAGUUGUUAAAGAAAUCCAAACCCGCUAGAUGUAUCAGAGCGUUGAGAAAGCUUCUCCUUGAGUUAAGAGAAAAGAAAAGAAUGAUAUGAAAAAGAGUUUGAAAGAUUCAUGAGUGCAAAGGGUAGAGUUAAGUUGGGACAAGAGUUGGGAUUACCAUUAGAACUUCAUUGUUAUACUCUGGGUAGAUGGGAUCUUAUCUUUGUAUGCAUAACCUGGGACUUACCUUUAGCAUUCUACCAAAGCUCAAUCAUUCUUGAGGGAUCCCCUGUUACUUAAGCCUAUUCUGUUAGGGACCAUCUUUGUCUCUUGACCUUCACCUUAGCCAAAUGAGUUCAUUCAUGAUGCACUGCUUGAUUCACAUUCCAGAACUAAUGAAUGUUAAAGGGAUUGGUAGAUUUGAAAGCAUGUGUAGGUCGAGUAUAAGAGACGGAUUGAUUGAUAACAAGGCAUGACUAACGUUUUUGAGUAAUAUU
rnacentral:sRNA from 1 species